GAUGAAGAACGCAGCGAAAUGCGAUAAGUAAUGCGAAUUGCAGAAUUCAGUGAGUCAUCGAAUCUUUGAACGCACAUUGCGCCCUUUGGUAUUCCUUAGGGCAUGCCUGUUCGAGCGUCAUUUAAACCUUCAAGCUAAGCUUGGUGUUGGGUGACUGUCCGCUUCACGGCGGACUCGCCUCAAAAUUAUUGGCGGCCGGUACAUUGGCUUCGAGCGCAGCAGAAACGCGAACUCGGGCCCGUCGUAUUGGCUCCCAGAAGCUAUCUUCACAAUUUUGACCUCGGAUCAGGUAGGGAUACCCGCUGAACUUAAGCAUAUCAAUAAGCGGAGGA
rnacentral:misc_RNA from 1 species